AUGCUUGCUUCAGCAAGCACAUAUACUAAAAUUAGAAUUAUAGAGAAGUUUAAAGUGGUCCCUGAUAAGGAUGAUAUCCAACUUUUUGAUGCAUUUCACAUUGUG
ensembl:snRNA U6 U6 spliceosomal RNA